GAUGAACGCUGGCGGCGUGCCUAAUACAUGCAAGUCGAGCGAAUGGAUUAAGAGCUUGCUCUUAUGAAGUUAGCGGCGGACGGGUGAGUAACACGUGGGUAACCUGCCCAUAAGACUGGGAUAACUCCGGGAAACCGGGGCUAAUACCGGAUAACAUUUUGAACCGCAUGGUUCGAAAUUGAAAGGCGGCUUCGGCUGUCACUUAUGGAUGGACCCGCGUCGCAUUAGCUAGCUGGUGAGGUAACGGCUCACCAAGGCAACGAUGCGUAGCCGACCUGAGAGGGUGGUCGGCCACACUGGGACUGAGACACGGCCCAGACUCCUACGGGAGGCAGCAGUAGGGAAUCUUCCGCAAUGGACGAAAGUCUGACGGAGCAACGCCGCGUGAGUGAUGAAGGCUUUCGGGUCGUAAAACUCUGUUGUUAGGGAAGAACAAGUGCUAGUUGAAUAAGCUGGCACCUUGACGGUACCUAACCAGAAAGCCACGGCUAACUACGUGCCAGCAGCCGCGGUAA
rnacentral:rRNA from 1 species